AGCAGCCGCGGUAAUUCCAGCUCCAAUAGCGUAUAUUAAAGUUGUUGCAGUUAAAAAGCUCGUAGUUGAAUUUCGGGAUCAAUAUGUUUGGUCGUGCCUCGGUACGUACUAGCUUAUUGGUUUCUCCUUUCUGAAGAACCAUGAUGUCAUUCAUUUGGUGUCGUGGGGAAUCAGGACUGUUACUUUGAAAAAAUUAGAGUGUUUAAAGCAGGCUCACGCUUGAAUACAUUAGCAUGGAAUAAUGAAAUAGGACGUUUGAUUCUAUUUUGUUGGUUUCUAGGAUCGACGUAAUGAUUAAUAGGGAUAGUUGGGGGCAUUAGUAUUCAAUUGUCAGAGGUGAAAUUCUUGGAUUUAUUGAAGACUAACUACUGCGAAAGCAUUUGCCAAGGAUGUUUUCAUUAAUCAAGAACGAAAGUUAGGGGAUCGAAGACGAUCAGAUACCGUCGUAGUCUUAACCAUAAACUAUGCCGACUAGGGAUCGGAUGAUGUUAAUUUUUUAAUGACUCAUUCGGCGCCUUACG
rnacentral:rRNA from 2 species